rnacentral:rRNA from 1 species
AAUCUCGGGCUUGGUUAGUACUUGGAUGGGUGACCGCUUGGGAAUACCAAGUGUGAUAAGCA